GUAGCCAAGGAGGAAGCCCCGGCUAACUACGUGCCAGCAGCCGCGGUAAUACGUAGGGGGCGAGCGUUGUCCGGAUUUACUGGGCGUAAAGGGUGAGUAGGCGGUAAUAUAUGUCAGGUGUAAAAGGUCAUGGCUUAACCAUGGUUAGCACUUGAAACUGUAUGACUUGAGUGCAGGAGAGGUAAGCGGAAUUCCUAGUGUAGCGGUGAAAUGCGUAGAUAUUAGGAGGAACACCAGUGGCGAAGGCGGCUUACUGGACUGUAACUGACGCUGAGUCACGAAAGCGUGGGUAGCAAACAGGAUUAGAUACCCUGGUAGUCCACGCUGUAAACGAUGAGUGCUAGGUGUUGGGUAGCGAUACUCAGUGCCGAAGUAAACACAAUAAGCACUCCGCCUGGGGAGUACGUACGCAAGUAUAAAACUCAAAGGAAUUGACGGGGACCCGCACAAGCAGCGGAGCAUGUGGUUUAAUUCGAAGCAACGCGAAGAACCUUACCAAGGCUUGACAUCCCCUUGACCGGUGCAGAGAUGUACCCACUUCUUCGGAAGCAAGGGAGACAGGUGGUGCAUGGUUGUCGUCAGCUCGUGUCGUGAGAUGUUGGGUUAAGUCCCGCAACGAGCGCAACCCUUAUCCUUAGUUGCCAUCAAGUUAAGUUGGGCACUCUAAGGAGACUGCCGGUGAUAAACCGGAGGAAGGUGGGGAUGACGUCAAAUCAUCAUGCCCCUUAUGUCUUGGGCUACACACGUGCUACAAUGGUCGGCACAACGGGGAGCGAAGGAGCGAUCCCAAGCAAAUCCCAAUAAACCGAUCCCAGUUCGGAUUGCAGGCUGCAACUCGCCUGCAUGAAGUCGGAGUUGCUAGUAAUCGCGAAUCAGAACGUCGCGGUGAAUGCGUUCCCGGGUCUUGUACACAGCGCCCGUCA
rnacentral:rRNA from 1 species